rnacentral:rRNA from 1 species
UGAGGAAUAUUGGUCAAUGGACGAGAGUCUGAACCAGCCAAGUAGCGUGCAGGAUGACGGCCCUAUGGGUUGUAAACUGCUUUUGUUUGGGAAUAAUCGACAUUACGUGUAAUGUUUUGCAUGUACCAUUCGAAUAAGGACCGGCUAAUUCCGUGCCAGCAGCCGCGGUAAUACGGAAGGUCCAGGCGUUAUCCGGAUUUAUUGGGUUUAAAGGGAGUGUAGGCGGUUGGUUAAGCGUGUUGUGAAAUGUAGAUGCUCAACAUCUGACUGGCAGCGCGAACUGGCUGACUUGAGUACACACAACGUAGGCGGAAUUCAUGGUGUAGCGAUGAAAUGCUUAGAUAUCAUGAAGAACUCAGAUUGAGAAGGCAGCUUACGGGAGUGUUACUGACGCUUAAGCUCGAAGGUGCGGGUAUCGAACAGG